rnacentral:tRNA from 1 species
GAGACCGUAGCUCAACGGAAGAGCGGCUCUUUGUGAGCAGGCGUGGGAUCAACACCCACCGGUCUCC